UAUAACCUGCAGACAUCAUAUGUUGUAUACAGUACCAGGAAUCCACACUCUAAUUUAUGACUAGACCCAAAUCUAGGUCUUCAUUACUAUAAGCUCCAAGACAAAACAUUCUGAUAUGUUGUUAUAAAACAUCAGAGAUAUCAAAUGUCCAUUUGUUGAAUAAAUUACUACCAGGAAUCCUUUAAGAUUUAGUGCUAUUAUUAGUUUACAGACUUUCAAACACAUAUGUAUUGCUUUGCCUGGCUGAUUUAACAAUGGGAUUUUCCUUGUGUGUCAACACAAUUUGUUAACAGAUGGGGAGAGGAUGAAGGAAGACCUGAAACGCAACAACCUACAUUGCCCGCAGAGUGAGCAUACAUCACCACGUGAAAGAGAGGCACGAACAGCAUGUGUUAGUAACAUUUGAUGCAGGGGAGCAGUGCGGCACAGCCAAGAGAUUUACAGAGCACAGAACACUGCAGUUCAAUGAAUCCAGACCACGGUUGGGACAAAUCAUUUUCAGUCUCGACAGGCAUGUCCUGAUCAGCCUCUGCAGCAGACGACUCCACAUCUGCAUCUGCACUGCUUUCACUACCCUGAGCUGACAGACCACACGGAGACUCUGGGCUUACAGACUCACCACUGGCACAGACAGACACACACAAACAGAUGGUUCUUACUGAUUACAUUUAAUGCUAUUUAAGCAAUGAGAACUUUAGUGUUGUUAUUUUCUCAAUUGCAGUCUUCUGGUGGGAACCAGCUGUGGCUUACAUCAACAGGAUGGCCUGCUCCCUCUCCUCUAGUCUCCUCUUCAGGGAGUCGAUCUCCUUCUGCUUCUCUAGCAGCUCCUUCUGGAGACGAUAGUUGCUCUCCUCCAGAGUCUCACAGAACGCCUGGAGGCAGGCGACAGCAGA